GGCAGGGUGGUGUAGUGGUUUCAGGCUUGGACUAUGACUAUGGAGAUCUGGGUUCGAAUCCUCACUCAGCCA